GUGAAAGACAGAGAGGUCAGAGUCUGCACAGUCUGCCAAGGUUCAGGGUGCCAUGGGCAGGACAGGGCUGGGUUUGCUCCUCUUCCUGGCGGCUUGCUCAGGUGGCAGCUCCCAGAUCCAGCUGACCCAGUCUGGAGCAGAAGUCAAGAAACCUGAAGAGUCGGCAAAGCUGAGCUGUAAAACCUCUGGCUACACAUUCACCAGCACCAACAUGUACUGGAUACGUCAGCCACCUGGGAAGGGACUGCAGUGGGUAGGAGAGAUCAACCCCAGCUCUGAUGGCACUUGGUAUGGCCAGGGCUUCCAGGGCCGGUUCACCAUCUCCAAGGACACCUCCACCAGCACAGUCUUCCUGCAGCUGAGCAGCCUGAGGACCGAUGACACUGCCAUGUAUUACUGUGCUCAUCGCACAAAACAGAAGGGAAAGACCACCAUGCAGAAUCCAGAAUGCAUGCAAGCACAGACUGAUGAUGAACAGAGCCCUAAGUCUGACACCAGUUUCCUGACCCGGGUCCUGAAUCCCUCACUGUCCUGUGAGCACUAA